rnacentral:RNase_P_RNA from 1 species
ACUGCAAACCGGGUUAUCGCUCUUGUUAAUUCAGGGGAGGAAAGUCCGGACAGCGAAGAGCAACACACCGGUUAAUUGCCGGUCCUGAUCUUGAUUGGGAAGAAAGUGCCACAGAAAAUUACCGUUCCUUAUUCAUCUCUUCGGAGACAUAAUGAGGUUCAAGGGUGAAAACGUGAGGUAAGAGCUCACGAUGCCGGUAAGUAAUUGCCGGGAUGGGUAAACCUUGUGUGCUGCAAUGCCACGUACAUCGGCGCCUGAGAACUGCUCGUUCGAGUUGAAGGGUAGGCAGCAAGAUUGUUGCAGUAAUGUAACAGCCAGAUAAAUGAUAACCGUUCUUUUUGCCGGGCUUGCCCGAAUAGAGAAAACAGAAUCCGGCUUACAGGUUUGCAGAAAUU